rnacentral:lncRNA from 1 species
CUCCUCCACGUUAAUUCCAGCACGUGCAUUACACGUGCUGGCCCAAUUUUUUUUUUAAAGUGGGUUUUUCUUUAAAAUUUUGGGUAUUACACUAAUGUUCUACAAUGGAGAUGCAAUAUUUGCAAUCAAUCAGACAUAAGGAUUCUUGAGAUUCAUUGGUAGCUGCAGCUUGUGCCCCCUCCACAUUGCUUUCUACUAUCUUAAACCACAAGUUAGAGGCAUCAAAUAGGUUUGGAUCAUAAGGUGCACCAAUUUAGGUCAGCUCGUGUCAUAGAGUACAAGAUCCAAAACUGCCCC